GCCAUAGUCUCUUCCAAACUUCCCCUUUGCCCUUCCCCUGUCCCAUCUCCCUGCACAGCUGCCAGGUUGUGAAACUCUAGAAUUGACUAAGCAAUUAUAUUGUUAGGUUUAGGGGCAUGAUUUUGUUCCUGUAAGACUGCACCGUAUUUCACUUAAUACUUAAGCCCCUGCCCCACUGUACGAGCUAAUUCAAGAGUUCUCCCGAGUUUCCCCUGAUUCGAACUCGGAGAAUUACGGUAAUAGCCGUUUGUAGGCACUCGGGGCUCGCGUGGACAUUUUCCAACAUAUAGACACAAAAUGCUGGAGUAACUCAGCGGGACAGGCA